GGAGUCCGUGCGUCCCCCUCCUGUCCCUCAGCCCUGGGGGCACGACGCAGCUACCGGGGUGGGGCUGAUGGCCCCAGAUUAGGGUCACUUCUGUCCCAGUGCCCUGGCCCGUAUCUAUGUUUCUAAAACUGAUGGCAGCCCGAACCCAGGACGUGGGCUCUCCCCACCACCCUGCAUGGACUUGCCCAAUAAAUUCCACUUAGUAAUUUCACCGAGGCGAGGGAGAGCUGUUAGUGUCUGUUUUCUGACCUAAAUCAAGCGGGUGGCCAGGACGGGCUUCAAUGGAUAGAGAGGAGAGCUUGUUGGCUUAGGGAAAGACCCAGAGGAGGGACUCGCACUCGGGACGGGGUAGGCAAGCACGGUCUUAGUUUUCUGCAGGGCUUUCUCGGAGCCUGUUUGCCCUCUUCAGGCUACGUCGCCUGGUCGUGGAAUGGCUGAGGUUGGAAGGUGCCUUUCCUCCUAAACUCCCUACAUUUUGUUCAGGGCCACUUAGAGGGAUCAUAUGGCAGUCGUGGCUUCCCUCAAGGCCCAGGGUUGGUUUCAAGGCUUUCUGUCCUGUGGUCAUCCAGGGCAGAAAGAGGCUGGCAGGAUGCAACGACGCUGAGAAAUGCUGUUUUACUGGACCGUGGGGCUAGGUGCAUGAAUGCAACUCACAUGGCUCACGGAAAAGCCAAGAACAGGCAGCGGGUUCGAAAAGCUUGCCACAGAGUUCGCAGAGAUUCCUCUUGCCUUCCCACGAUGCCAGGAUCGCAAGUGCCCCGAAUUUGCUCUUCUAACAGAGUCGUGUUUGUUGAUGGAAUGACCGACCGGCUUGCUGACAAAGAGGGGGCGCCAAAGGAGGGACAGAUCUAGGCCCUUCUUUGGCAUUUCGAAGAAGCUGGGGGCGACACGAGAUGUUGAGUGCUUUGGAUCGGCCACAUGGAAGGAGCAGGGUGA